rnacentral:misc_RNA from 1 species
AAGUCGUAACAAGGUCUCCGUUGGUGAACCAGCGGAGGGAUCAUUACAGAGUUGCAAAACUCCCACAAACCAUCGCGAAUCUUACCCGUACGGUUGCCUCGGCGCUGGCGGUCCGGAAAGGCCCUCGGGUCCUCCCGGAUCCUCGGGUCUCCCGCUCGCGGGAGGCUGCCCGCCGGAGUGCCGAAACUAAACUCUUGAUAUUUUAUGUCUCUCUGAGUAAACUUUUAAAUAAGUCAAAACUUUCAACAACGGAUCUCUUGGUUCUG